rnacentral:rRNA from 1 species
GACGAACGCUGGCGGCGUGCUUAACACAUGCAAGUCGAGCGGAGCGGCGCACGGGUGAGUAACGCGUGAGUAACUGCCCCCCUCUCUGGGAUAACAGUUGGAAAAGGCUGCUAAUACCGGAUAGUGGGGGAUGACUCGCGUCCUAUCAACUUGUUGGUGGGGUAGGAGCCUACCAAGGCGACGACGGGUAACCGGGCUGGGAGGGCGACCGGCCACAUUGGGGAGUGAUAAGGUCCGAAAACAUGCGGGAGGCAGCAGUGGGGAAUAUUGCAGAAUGGGGGAUACCCUGAUGCAGCAACGCCGCGUGCAGGAGGACGGCCGUCGGGUUGUAAACCGCUUUCAGCCAUGACGCGAUGGUGGCAGGAGAAGCACCGGCUAACUACGUGCCAGCAGCCGCGGUAAUUC